UAUUUCAAGCAAUCCAUACAAGAUCAGUUACCAAAUUCAACGUGCAGCAACACUUCCAUCUGCACUGUAUCACCGAUGAAUCAUUACUUCCAAAUCAAAGUCUCACGUUCACCUGCGAUUAGAAACAGCGGUGAGAAGUUCAAAGCAACACGAAUCCACAACAAAAUUUGAAGCUUCACGACUCAACAUCAUCAUCAACUCAAAAACAACAGCCUCAUGCAUCACUGCUCGGUUUGAUAAUGGAAAAGAAACAGAGAUGAAGAGGUCCUGUUGUGCUAAACAAUAUUUGAUAUCGUUUCUAUAUUUAAGGAAGCAUGGACUUCAUCUUUGGCAAUAACACUUCUCUUUAGGAGCACUGUCUUAUUCAAUACAAAUAUGUGGAGUUUCAGUACCGCACAAGCUACAAAAUCAUCGUAGGAAAUUACCGAUUAUGUAUUCUUGAGAUGCAUUAUCACAAGUAACCAAGAAAUUUCAUAUGCAUAUCUUGGACGACCGUGGCGACCUUUUGGAAGGGUGGUUUUGGCGUACACUUACAUCAUUCCGGUAUACGACAAGUUGUUGUGGAGUAGGCACUGUUGCUGAUACAGAGGCAUUAACAGCCUCGAAAAGCACACUUCCUAUUGAGAAGCUCAGUCCUAAAGUAAUUGUUUCAUCUCUUUGGAAAGAGAACAAACCUUGAAACACUAAGUGUCAAAGAGAAUAAACCUGCAGCUGCUGACGAUGAAGAUAUGGAUCCAACGGUAUUACUCUUAUCUUUUCUUACUAUCAUCUCAAUGGAAAAUGUCA